rnacentral:misc_RNA from 1 species
CGUAAAGGUGGAUGAGUGGUGUUUGGUUUGUUACGUGUGGUUGGCUGCGGCGUUUGCAACAACUUCCAUGCUUUCAGACCUCUUCAGUUGUGCGGCAGGGCUUGUAUCGCCUUGAGCGUAUUGUGGGUUUUCUGUGUUGGCUACCUAAUCAACGGUAUCGGUUGGAUUGAUCAAAGUUUGAUUUCGUCUUCCGUCGCAUUCGCGGCGUGAGGUGAACCUYGAUGCGGUCUCUUUGAUCCACCUCGACGAAGCACAUGCUUUGACGUUGUGGCCCAUUGAGCAUUGCUUGGUCUCUUGUAUACGGAACAUAUAGUGGGCAUGGAUCUAACGAUUCUCGUUUGCCCUCAUAUUAGCGUAACGCUUCUCUUACACGACUUGCUCCACGUUUUAGCUCGUACGGACGUGGUGCUAUGUCGAARARGAAUGCUACCUGGUUGAUCCUGCCAGUARUCAUAUGCUUGUCUCAAARAUUAAGCCAU